AGAUCAAUUACAGGGCAAAGUCUCCUCUGGCAUGUGGCCACUUAUAAUUAUAAAUGCUUCGGGCUGAGCCUCAGUGAGCAAACCCUUGCAUUAUUCUUGUAGUGUGCUUUAUGCCAAAGGAGAUUUGCUCGGCAAUUCUUCU
rfam:Prunus persica cultivar Lovell chromosome G4, whole genome shotgun sequence.